rnacentral:rRNA from 1 species
AUUGAACGCUGGCGGCAGGCCUAACACAUGCAAGUCGAGCGGUAGAGAGAAGCUUGCUUCUCUUGAGAGCGGCGGACGGGUGAGUAAUGCCUAGGAAUCUGCCUGAUAGUGGGGGAUAACGUCCGGAAACGGACGCUAAUACCGCAUACGUCCUACGGGAGAAAGUGGGGGCUCUUCGGACCUCACGCUAUCAGAUGAGCCUAGGUCGGAUUAGCUAGUUGGUGGGGUAAAGGCUCACCAAGGCGACGAUCCGUAACUGGUCUGAGAGGAUGAUCAGUCACACUGGAACUGAGACACGGUCCAGACUCCUACGGGAGGCAGCAGUGGGGAAUAUUGGACAAUGGGCGAAAGCCUGAUCCAGCCAUGCCGCGUGUGUGAAGAAGGUCUUCGGAUUGUAAAGCACUUUAAGUUGGGAGGAAGGGUCGUUACCUAAUACGUGACGAUUUUGACGUUACCGACAGAAUAAGCACCGGCUAACUCUGUGCCAGCAGCCGCAGUAAUAC